CAGAAUGUAGCUUAUUUAAAGUUUACUAGUUACAUUUGUAAGAAGAUUUACUCCUUUCUGA
rnacentral:tRNA from 1 species